UACGUAGGGGGCAAGCGUUGUCCGGAUUUAUUGGGCGUAAAGAGCGUGUAGGCGGCCUGGAAGGUCAGCUGUGAAAACUCGAGGCUCAACCUCGAGACGUCGGUUGAAACCACCUGGCUAGAGUCCGGAAGAGGAGAAUGGAAUUCCCGGUGUAGCGGUGAAAUGCGCAGAUAUCAGGAAGAACACCCGUGGCUAAGGCGGCUCUCUAGUACGGUACUGACGCUGAGACGCGAAAGCGUGGGGAGCGAACAGG
rnacentral:rRNA from 1 species